rnacentral:rRNA from 1 species
GAGUUUGAUCCUGGCUCAGGAUGAACGCUAGCUACAGGCUUAACACAUGCAAGUCGAGGGGCAGCAUGAACUUAGCUUGCUAAGUUUGAUGGCGACCGGCGCACGGGUGAGUAACACGUAUCCAACCUGCCGAUGACUCGGGGAUAGCCUUUCGAAAGAAAGAUUAAUACCCGAUGGCAUAGUUCUUCCGCAUGGUAGAACUAUUAAAGAACUUCGGUCAUCGAUGGGGAUGCGUUCCAUUAGGUUGUUGGCGGGGUAACGGCCCACCAAGCCUUCGAUGGAUAGGGGUUCUGAGAGGAAGGCCCCCCACAUUGGAACUGAGACACGGUCCAAACUCCUACGGGAGGCAGCAGUGAGGAAUAUUGGUCAAUGGACGAGAGUCUGAACCAGCCAAGUAGCGUGAAGGAUGACUGCUCUAUGGGUUGUAAACUUCUUUUAUACGGGAAUAAAGUGAGGCACGUGUGCCUUUUUGUAUGUACCGUAUGAAUAAGGAUCGGCUAACUCCGUGCCAGCAGCCGCGGUAAUACGG